rnacentral:snRNA from 1 species
AUACUACUGCAGGGAUACCAUGAUUCACGAAGGGUGUGGUUUUCCCGAGGGCGAGGCUUAUCCCAUUAGCACUUCCGGAUUUUUGGGCUGUCGGAAACCCCCUGCGGUUUUCCCAAAAUGUGGCGAAACUCGACUGCAUAAUUUGUGGUAGUGGGGGACUGCGUUUCGCGCUUCCCCUG